rnacentral:rRNA from 1 species
GACGAACGCUGGCGGCGUGCUUAACACAUGCAAGUCGAACGGAAAGGCCCUGCUUUUGUGGGGUGCUCGAGUGGCGAACGGGUGAGUAACACGUGAGUAACCUGCCCUUGACUUUGGGAUAACUUCAGGAAACUGGGGCUAAUACCGGAUAGGAGCUCCUGCUGCAUGGUGGGGGUUGGAAAGUUUCGGCGGUUGGGGAUGGACUCGCGGCUUAUCAGCUUGUUGGUGGGGUAGUGGCUUACCAAGGCUUUGAUGGGUAGCCGGCCUGAGAGGGUGACCGGGCACACUGGACGGGAGAGAAGGGCCAGAGGCCUACGGGAGGCAGCAGUGGGGAAUAGUGGGCAAUGGGGGGGAGCCUGAGCCAGCGAGGUCGGGUGUGUGAAGAAGGUCUUCGGAUGGUAAAGGACGGUAAGUGGGGAGGAAGGGCAGUAAGUUAAUACCUUGCUGUUUUGACGUGACCAACAGAAUAAGCAACGGCUAACUUCGUG